AACGAACGCUGGCGGCAUGCCUAACACAUGCAAGUCGAACGAUUGCCUUCGGGUGAUAGUGGCGCACGGGUGCGUAAGGCGUGGGAAUCUGCCCUUAGGUUCGGAAUAACAGCGGGAAACGGCGGCUAAUACCGGAGGAUAUCGCGAGAUCAAAGAUUUAUCGCCUGAGGAUGAGCCCGCGUUGGAUUAGGUAGUUGGUGGGGUAAAGGCCUACCAAGCCGACGAUCCAUAGCUGGUCUGAGAGGAUGAUCAGCCACACUGGGACUGAGACACGGCCCAGACUCCUACGGGAGGCAGCAGUGGGGAAUAUUGGACAAUGGGCGCAAGCCUGAUCCAGCAAUGCCGCGUGAGUGAUGAAGGCCCUAGGGUUGUAAAGCUCUUUUACCCGGGAAGAUAAUGACUGUACCGGGAGAAUAAGCCCCGGCUAACUCCGUG
rnacentral:rRNA from 1 species